rnacentral:rRNA from 1 species
UACGGGGGGGGUAAGCGUUGUUCGGAAUUACUGGGCGUAAAGCGUGCGCAGGCGGUUUUGUAAGACAGAGGUGAAAUCCCCGGGCUCAACCUGGGAACUGCCUUUGUGACUGCAAGGCUUGAGUGCGGCAGAGGGGGAUGGAAUUCCGCGUGUAGCAGUGAAAUGCGUAGAUAUGCGGAGGAACACCGAUGGCGAAGGCAAUCCCCUGGGCCUGCACUGACGCUCAUGCACGAAAGCGUGGGGAGCAAACAGG